UUUUUCUUUUUUUCUUUUUUUUUGAGAUAGUGUGUCCGGAUUCUGUUCCUUCUGGUGGGUUCGUGGUCUCGCUGACUUCAAGAAUAAAGCUGUGGACCUUCGUGGUGAGUGUUACAGCUCUCAAAAGUGACACGGACCCAAAGAGUGCGUAGCAGCAAGAUUGUUAACAGCAAAAGCACAAAGCCUCCAUAGCGUGGAAGGAGACCCGGAUUGCUGCAGCUGGCUGGGGUAGCCAACUUUUAUUUCCUUAUUCGUCCCUGCCCACGUCCUGCUGAUUGGUCCAUUUAACAGAGUACUGAUUAUUCAAUUUUACAAACCUGUAGCUAGCCACAGAGCACUGAUUGGUGUGUUUUUACAGAGCACUGGUUGGCACGUUUUACAAACCUCUAGCUAGCCACAGAGUGCUAAUUGGUGCAUUUUACAAUCCUCACUACAGAAUGCUGAUUGGUGCAUUUUACAAUCCUCUUGUAAAACAGAAAAGUUCUCCAAGUCCUCACCCAAUCCAGAAGUCCAGCUGGCUUCACCUCUCAAUAGGGUCUUGCUCUGUCACUCAGGCUGGAGUGGAGUGGCCCUGUCUUGGCUCACUGCAGCCUCGACCUCCUGGGCUCAAGCAAUCCUCCCACCUCAGCCUCCAGAAUAGCUGGGACUACAGCCAUGCACCACCAUGCCUGGCUAAUUUUUUUUUUUUUUUUUAAUUUCCUGUAGAGACAAGGUCUCCCUGUGUUACCCAGGCUGGUCUUGAACUCUUGGCCUCAAGCAAUCCUCUAUCCUGUGUCUCCCAAAGUGCUGGAAUUACAGGAGUGAGCCCCCUAUACCCAGCCCCACCUAACUCUUUUUCUUUUUUUUUUUUUGAGACAGAGUCUCACUGUGUCACCCAGGCUGGAGUACAGUGGCGAAAUCUCAACUCACUGCAACCUCCGCCUGCUGGGUUCAAACAAUUCUCCUCCCUCAACCUCAUAAGUAGCUGGGAUCGCAGGCACUCCCACCAUGCCCAGCUAAAUUUUUUUGUAUUUUUAGUGGAGAUGGGGUUUCACCAUGUUGGCCAGUCUGGUUUUGAACUCCUGACCUCAGCUGAUCUGCCCGCCUCAGGCUCCCAAAGUGCUGAGAUUCCAAGCAUCAGCCACCGCGUCCAGCCCCCACCUAACUCUUAAUGGACUGCAACACACACCCUAGAAGAGAUGUGUGAACAAUUCUAAAAACAGACAAUCCUUAGUAUCCACUUCAACUCCUCAGAAUAUCAGCAGCACCCUAGGCAUGACUGAUUCCCAGCGGCAGGGUUGCUGCUGUGUCCCCGAACCUAAAUGUAUUUAUUAGCACUUAAGGAACUAAAAAAUGAAUGUCAGAGAAUGCAGCUGCUGAUGUUGAAGUAGGCAGUUGUUUGUUUCCUAACUCUUAAAUUUCACUAAUAUACUGUAACCAAGAUGGAAACAGACUACAUCUUUCUGGUUAUAGAGGCUUCUCUUCCUCUAUCACUAACAUGGACCUACAGGCUUCGCAGCAGAAAUCUACUUUCUGGGACUUUUAAGAGACAGAGAACACAGAUAGACCUUGCCCCUUUGUUGGACAGAUUCAAAUGUUUUGCUUGUUUUUGUUGUUUAUUUUUUUAAAAAUUUUUUGGUAAGAGACAGGGUUUCACUCUGUCAGCCAAGCUGGAGGUCAGUGGUGCAAUCUCAGCUCAUUGCAGCUUCAACCUCCUGGGCUCAAGCGAAUGUCUCACUUCAGCCUCCUGAUUAGCUGGGACCACAGGCACACACCACCACUCCUGGCUAAGUUUUGUAUUUUUUUGUAUAGACAGGGUUUCAACAUGUUGCCC
rnacentral:lncRNA from 1 species